rfam:Triticum aestivum genome assembly, contig: Triticum_aestivum_CS42_TGACv1_scaffold_193586_3AL
CAACUACUCCCUCUGUCCCAAAUUUCUUGUCUUAGAUUUGUCUAGAUACGGAUGUAUCUAAUACUAAAAUGUGACUUGAUACAUCCAUAUCUAGACAAAUCUAAGACAAGAAUUUUGGGACAGAGGGAGUACUUU